UUCAGAAUGACGAAGUAUUCGACGAUUGUCCGGAUCAACCAAAAGAAGUACUAAAUAUUCACGGCUUAGUUGAUCUUUCUGACAUAACUUUUUGUUCGGAGGGCGAAAAUGUUUUUAUAUCAGGUAAUUCAACUAUAGUGUGGGAUCUCCAGCCUACGGAUAUAAUUCAGGUACGAGGAGAAUUACUUCACUUUGAUCGUGGUUCUUGGCAUCCCACUUUGUAUGCCAUGAAUUUGCCAGAUUUUUGUUCUAUUAUGUGGGAUAAAAAUCAAUAUUGGUACACAUCAUGGCUACAAUAUGUUGUAAAUGCAGAUUCAGUAAAAGGAAAAUGCUUAAGAGAACGAGGAAUCAAAUUCGUUCACAAGCCAUUUAAUGUGGGAGCUAUGUUCGAAACGCACCUCAGCGAUAUGUAUGGCAGCUAUAAGGUGAGAGUAACCGUUAAAGCAUUAAAUCCGUUGUCGGGAAGAAUACGGCCAACGUCCAUAUGUUUUGAAGUCAAAGGAGAAUUCGAAAGAUUGUAAAAUUGCUUUGUCAAAGCUCUGCAAAUUUUCAGUAGAUCUAAUUAAAUGCAUUGCUGAUUGCAUUAGGCAACAGUCCAA